rnacentral:rRNA from 1 species
AAAAAUAACGAUACGGGACUCUAUUGAGGCCCCGUAAUCGGAAUGAGUACACUUUAAAUCCUUUAACAAGGAUCCAUUGGAGGGCAAGUCUGGUGCCAGCAGCCGCGGUAAUUCCAGCUCCAAUAGCGUAUAUUAAAGUUGUUGCGGUUAAAAAGCUCGUAGUUGGUUCUGCGUGCCGCGCUGUCGGUUCGCCGCCUGUCGGUGUAACUGGCAUGUCGCGGCAUGUCCUGUCGGUGGUGAACGGAGUCCACAAUGCUACAUAGGCUUUAUAGCCGAUGUUAGCGUCGUGUGUACUUCCGUUGGCCGAUCUCUCCUACUUCGGUGCUCUUAAACGAGUGUCGAGGUAGGCCGACACGUUCACUUUGAACAAAUUAGAGUGCUUAAAGCAGGCUGAAAUAUCUGCCUGAAUAGUGGUGCAUGGAAUGAUAAAACAGGACCUCGGUUCUAUUUUGUUGGUUUUAGGAAUAUGAGGUAAUGAUCAAUGUGGACUGGCGGGGGCAUUCGUAUUGCGACGUUAGAGGUGAAAUUCUUGGAUCGUCGCAAGACGCACUAGAGCGAAAGCAUUUGCCAAGUAUGUCUUAAUUGAUCAAGAACGAAAGUUAGAGGUUCGAAGGCGAUCAGAUACCGCCCUAGUUCUAACCAUAAACGAUGCCAGCCAGCGAUCCGCCGAUGUUCCUUUAAUGACUCGGCGGGGAGCUUCCACCCGGGAAACCAAAGCUUUUGGGUUCCGGGGGAAGUAUGGUUGCAAAGCUGAAACUUAAAGGAAU